AUUGAACGCUGGCGGCAGGCCUAACACAUGCAAGUCGAGCGAGUGGCGGACGGGUGAGUAAUGUCUGGGGAUCUGCCCGAUGGAGGGGGAUAACUACUGGAAACGGUAGCUAAUACCGCAUACUAUCAGAUGUGCCCAGAUGGGAUUAGCUAGUUGGUGGGGUAAAGGCUCACCUAGGCGACGAUCCCUAGCUGGUCUGAUAGGAUGACCAGCCACACUGGGACUGAGACACGGUCCAGACUCCUACGGGAGGCAGCAGUGGGGAAUAUUGCACAAUGGGCGCAAGCCUGAUGCAGCCAUGCCGCGUGUAUGAAGAAGGCCUUCGGGUUGUAAAGUACUUUCAGCGGGGAGGCGUUACCCGCAGAAGAAGCACCGGCUAACUCCGUGCCAGCAGCCGCGGUAAUAC
rnacentral:rRNA from 1 species